ACCCCUACAAUUCUGUGAUUCUGUGAUUCUGUGACCUCAGAGUUAUGUGCCUGUGUGUGUAUGUGCCGUACCCUGAGUGCUCUGGAGAUGGCCAAAGGAGGAGCGGGGGACCUACAGACUGCCUGAGGCCCCUGGCAGUAGCUUCUGAGAUCAGAUAUUCAUACCGUGACAUUUCUGCACAACAGGCCUUUGCUGACAUGGCUGACAGACAAUCUACAAUCUGUUCAAACUGUGACUAAAUCUAGCAAUGGCUUUGAGUAGACCUCUGCUUAGAAACCACUGCUGUGUCCUACCUACGCCCACAUAAUCCCCUGUGUGAAAUGAUGACCCUUUGCUUCUCCCUGAAAUUCAGUGGCAUGCUUUCAUUCCUUAUUUCAUUAUUGUUUUUACUUGAGCAACUUUCAAGUCCAGCGCUACAUACUGGCCUCAGCAUCGCUCAGAAAUCUCAGCAAGGCCAAAAGCAAACUGGGAUAUCCAGUACUACAGAUCCAGAUAAAAAGAAAAAAAUAAGAGAACCCUGAGAUAAAUCUGAGUCAUCUGAAGCACAGCUGAGAAAACAGAGAAGUGUCUGAACUCAAAGCAGCACUCCCUAGCUGGUAAGAAUGAAGUCCAGCAUCACCAAUCUCACUGCAAAAAGUGUGAAAGAAGGACCACGGUGGUUAAGAAAGAGAGAGAAGAGAGACCUGGGAGCAAAAAAAUAAGGAGGGCUGCUUGGUUUUUCCAGUAUUCAGCUUGCUAGCUGAGAAGCACGACUAUGUUCUGCUUCAUAGAAUCACAGAAUAUCCCAAGUUGGAAUGGACUCACAAGGAUCAUCCAACUCCUUCAUUCAUUGUCUCAGCUGCCUUUGUGCAGCAAGGCAGCUGCCUUGCUGAUGGACAGACAAAGCUGGAUUCUCCAACAACAGGACCCUAACUUCACAGUCACUGAGUAAUUAAAAACAGGCAAACAUGUGUACGCUUGUUAAAAUACAGCACUGCACUUGUAAAUGUAAUUGAACUGUGAUUAAUUCCUCACAUUUCAUUAUAAACUAAUACAAAUCCAUUACAGGGCAAUGAAUGGGUCCUGCUAAUAGCAAGUUCAUAUCUUCUCUGUUCUGCACAGUCUGCAGCCACACACAACUUUGCAAAGGCUGAGCCAACACUAGCAUGAUGUUUUGGUGGCACUUCCUGCCUCCUUUCCACAUAUGAACGGGACAUUGCAAGCUGUCAGUAUGUUUAGUAUCAGAAUCUUAGCACAUCUUGAAAGUCUUGUAUGCAUACUUCAGGAUAUAUUAAAGCAUUUCUGCUUUUCCUGAGCUAAAGAGAAACUUGUUUUUCUCUCCCUUGAAACAAACCCUGCAGGGCCAGAUGGAUAUUAUCUUAUUGCCAGUGACAUGAAGACAAAAUCUCAGAUAAGGAUUAUCUCAGAGUUAUCCUUCUUGACAAAUGGGUUGUGAAGCCAUUAUUUCAUCUUUCAACAGUUUCCAGUCAUGCCUUAGCCAAACGAGCACCAACAAAGUCUCUGUAGCCUGACCAUAGGCGUAUAUUUUCUUUUCCCUUUUUAUCCUGUGCAUUUCAGGGUUUUUCAUUCUGCUGGGUGAAAAGCAUAUGCAUAGACUAAGCGCAUUUAGAGGGCUUUAUGUGUUCCUUGUUUGGUUAGCUCAAUGACAUACAGAAUCACCCACCAGCUAUUUCAUCAGAGGCACAACCCAUCUGCAUGCAGCUCUGGCUAAGAAAUUCUUCAGAAAUGCCCAUGCUCUGUCAAAAACACUGAUUCUUUGACAGUGACUUCCACCAUUUGCUUCUCCCCCCCAAAUUAUUGCAUCCAGUUUUACUCCUCAGACAUUUGGGGAAGCAGAAAAAGGCACAAAAGGGAAAAAAAUAUUGAAGUGUAUUUUUAGUUCCCUUUAUUGCAUUUCAGUACAAUUGCUUUCUGGUUUCAAAGGAAGUAUAACUGAAACUCAAUGUGGUUUUAGAAUAAGGAAAAUGUUAGAUAAAAAAUAACAUUUUAAAUCAGGGAAAUGAUCUCUGAAUUAAAAUACUUUAUUCUUGUGGCUUUGCAGAAUCACCUUCCCUUUGCCUUUAGCGUAGUCAGAACAAUUUUCAUGCCAAACCAAUAUUUGAAUUCUUGUUCUUUCCAAAGAAAACUAGUGGGUGGGUUUCUGUCUGGGAGCUAAACCAGAGAAUUUCCCUAGAGUUUAGCUGCAAUCCAGCUUUGGGGAGGCCAGCAUCCAGUCCAUCACACUGGUUUCCAUCAGUAGUGUCACGUAGCAGAUGCAGGAAAGCUUUAUACUAAGAUUGUUAUGAGGACUGCUCUGAAAGUAAUGCCUCCUAUUUUGUAUGUUGGCCCACAACACCAGAGGCAGAUGUUGGUGCUAUGACUGUAGACGUUGAACCUUCCCACUAAUAUGCUGUUCCAUUUUGGUGCCUUGUGACAGAUGGCAGAAGAGGGGCACUCUGACACAAUGGUGACUGUCAUGGAAGUGUGUAUGAAGCAAAGGUGUGUCACUGAAUUCCUCCAGGUGGAAUGGCACCCACUGACAUUCAUCAAUAUUUACUGAAUAUUUCUGGAGACCAAGCAUUGGAUGUGAGCACACUUAGGUGGUGGGUGGCACUUUUCUGCUAUGUUGACGGCAACAAUGGGACACCAGUGCAGACUGUUACAAGCACGGCAUGCAGCUCUUCUUCAUCACUGGCAGAAAUGCACAGCUUUGAUGGUGACUGUGUUGACAAACAGUGUUUUGUAUCUGAAUUUUGCUCUAUCAAAUAGUGUUAUUAUGCUGUUUGUAUCUGCUGUAGUUUCCAUGGAAAUAAACAGGAGGUAUUACUUUUGGAGCAACCUACAUACAAUGCCUCUUUUCCCAGUGAUCAUGCUAAAAAUGUAGUCUACAGCAAACACUAUUCCUUUUUUUACAGGAGUGAUCCUGUGCUUUCAGGCACAUGGCACAACAUUCAGCCAUGAGCCAUGUCUUUAACUGGCUGCUAUUGCUAGUUCAACCCAAAAAGAAAACAUUGAGAAUAUUCAGAAGAAAAUAUCCUAUAACAAGUUUAACUUUGCUUUUUGUUUGUUUGUCUGUUUUUCCUAUGGCACAGUUAACAAAGGGAUGAUUAACAAAGAUGGACAACAUUACAGUCACUGUGGGCAGCUGAAGCUGACCAAGUAAGUACAGCAUACCAAGUCAAGCAAGGAAGGGGCAUAAUAUUUGCCCUGCCAAAAAAAAAAGAGAAGAAACACUCCUCACUUGCAGGAAGAAAAUUUUGACUGGGAAAUAGCAGGAAGCUUGCAUGAAAAGCAGUAAGACAAAUAGAUCUGAUCUCGGUGGCCCAUGUCAAAAUUCCUCUGGAUGGCAGCAAGACUGGGAUCCAACUGUAAUCAUGCAGCUGCAGCUGCCAGGGAACAUUAGUAACCUAUGCACGUGAAAACCUUGGUGCUUCCACUUGGUGCAUCUUCCAGCAACACACCUCUUUUUGGGGCAGGGUAGUUUUUAACUCUAAUACUGUCAGUGCGCUGUUGAUUGUGCACCAACACAAACUGGGGAACCAGCUGGAUACAGAUCUCAUCAACUCUUUCUGAGAUGUGUUGCAGAUGGAGCACAGAGACUCUCAGACUCUAAGAUGAUAUAUGAAUCCUGAGGCAAAAGAAGACCUGAACCCAAAUAAUCAGCUGGGGCUUUUACCAUCUGACUGACUUCUUCUAUAAUCUUUCUGGAUAUUGACAAAAAAUAAGCUGUUUAUUUCACCAAUAAUCUAAUAAUAUAGAAUUUGUAUUAUAUGCAUAUGCACACAAGUGCAAAAGAUAGAAAUUUGUUUAUGUUUUUUAGGUAAUAUUUAUGAACUAAUGACUUUUUAUGUAAUACAUGCACUGCUUCUGCAAAUACAAAUUAUAGAUAUACAUAUGCUUUUAAAAUGUGUUAGUAUGACACUUGUAAGACAUGUCUCUCAAUGAAGAAUUAAUAUUUCUUUUUUUCUCACUUCAUUUCUCAUUACAAUGCACAAGAAAGCAGUUUCAACUUAUUUUGGCGGACUUGCACUUAAGACGUGUAGCAUUCAUUUGCAAUACUGCUCUCACAAUGUUGCCAUGCUAUUAAACUUCUUUGAAGUUCUUCUCUGAAAGGUUCUUUGCAAAGGUUGUGUAUAAGGCUUUGCAACAGGGAGGUUUGGAAUUGUUUUUCUGAAAAUUAUUCUAAAAAGUCUGUCCUUUUCAAGGUCUUGGCCAGGUGCACAGCUAUUUUCCUCUUUCCAUUUUCUUUAACUCUGCAGCACAGAAUAAUAGUCCCUAUCUAAAAUUUUAUAUAUAUAAUGCAUUGCAGACUCUACCACAUACUUCCCUUUUCAGCAGCUUUAUUGAACACCAAGGCACUUUCAGUGAGUGAUUCUUCUGCCUGUCCAACAUUCAGUCUCUGAGAUCAGCCAAACAUAGGGACCAGUUCUACCACCAUUACACUCAUGGUGCUUUCUUUACAUUACAUUCCCAAACCUCAAUGGAUCUCUCAUAAAUUGCUAUAAUCUGUAUCAAGAGUUCUCAGCAUCUGUCUCAUGCUCACCUGCAUCACCAAACAGCCUCAUGAGGAAGGUAUCUCCAUGAAUACUGACCAGCCAGCAACAGCACAACAGCCAGUCCCCUGGGUGAAAGCUCCCUCCAGGUUUCGCCACUGCCACAGAAAGGAGAACCAGAGCCCCCAGUGUACUCCAAAGCUAUCCUGCAUGGGAUCUCAGCUCAUCACAACACAGGAGAAACAUGAGAAGCUGACUUGUAACCAAUGCUCUUCACUCAGUGUUGUCAAGCGCACAUGUCAGUGGGCUGGUAGAUCGAACCUAUGUCCAUAAUGAUAGAGGAGGAGCCAAGUGGUCUACCAGUAAAGACCCCAGUCUGCUUCAAAUGUUGUUGGUUCCUUUCCUGAUGAAUGCCACAAAUAUCCUGCACAGAACACAGCACUGACCUGGUUAAUGCAGCACACACUGGGCUGGUAGUGGCACUCUUCUAAGGCUAUUCCUCCAGGAAGCUCACCAACAUCCUUGCAGGAUCAGUCUAAAGCUAUGCUUUGACACUGUGCCUUUUGCACAGAGAGGCAACCCUAAGGUUUUUGCAUACAUUGAUACAUACAUGAAAAAGCAGAUACUUUCCCUAGUCCCAGGCAGUUGCAGUAAAGAUCCAUAGAGAACCUGAAUAAUCAUAAUUUCUUAGUGUGUUAAGGAGUUCAGACUAUGGAAAGAAGACAGUUCUGAGAAACAGAUUUUAUAGACUGAGCUGAACAGAUUUUUGGCAUUAUUUGUAAGCCAGUCAUUGUUAAGCCUUUGUACUUAGAAGAGCAAUUAUGACUCCUUUGGAAACAUCCUUAGUUGAACUCUUAAAAUAAUAAAAACACUCCUCCGUAAGACCACAUUAACAUAUGGUUUUCGUAAUGACAGCACAAACAAAUCACCCACUCAUCAAACACGUUUAGGAAGAAGACAGGAACAAACAGAACAAAAAAUUUCUACAGAUUACUUACAGGUCAUGACCAAUUGAGGGGAAAAAAAAAAA